rnacentral:rRNA from 1 species
AACACAUGCAAGUCGAGGGGCAGCAUGAACUUAGCUUGCUAAGUUUGAUGGCGACCGGCGCACGGGUGAGUAACACGUAUCCAACCUGGCCUUGACUCGGGAAUAGCCUUUCGAAAGAAAGAUUAAUGCCCGAUGGCAUAUGAGUUCCGCAUGGUUCUUAUAUUAAAGAUUCAUCGGUGAAGGAUGGGGAUGCGUCCCAUUAGCUUGUUGGCGGGGUAACGGCCCACCAAGGCAACGAUGGGUAGGGGUUCUGAGAGGAAGGUCCCCCACAUUGGAACUGAGACACGGUCCAAACUCCUACGGGAGGCAGCAGUGAGGAAUAUUGGUCAAUGGCCGUAAGGCUGAACCAGCCAAGUAGCGUGAGGGAUGACUGCCCUAUGGGUUGUAAACCUCUUUUAUAAGGGAAUAAAGUCCGGUACGCGUACCGGUUUGUAUGUACCUUAUGAAUAAGCAUCGGCUAACUCCGUGCCAGCAGCCGCGGUAAUACGGAGGAUGCGAGCGUUAUCCGGAUUUAUUGGGUUUAAAGGGAGCGCAGGCGGAUGUUUAAGUCAGUUGUGAAAUGUCCCGGCUCAACCGGGGGACUGCAGUUGAUACUGGACGUCUUGAGUGCGGCAGAGGCAGGCGGAAUUCGUGGUGUAGCGGUGAAAUGCUUAGAUAU